CCUACGGGUGGCAGCAGUGGGGAAUAUUGGACAAUGGGGGGAACCCUGAUCCAGCGACGCCGCGUGAGUGAAGAAGUAUUUCGGUAUGUAAAGCUCUAUCAGCAGGGAAGAAAAUGACGGUACCUGACUAAGAAGCCCCGGCCAACUACGUGCCAGCAGCCGCGGUAAUACGUAGGGGGCAAGCGUUAUCCGGAUUUACUGGGUGUAAAGGGAGAGGAGACGGUGCAGCAAGUCUGAUGUGAAAGGUCGGGGCCCAAACCCGGGACUGCAUUGGAAACUGUUGAACUGGAGUACAGGAGAGGUAAGCGGAAUUCCUGGUGUAGCGGUGAAAUGCGUAGAUAUUAGGAGGAACACCAGUGGCGAAGGCGGCUUAC
rnacentral:rRNA from 1 species